GACGAACGCUGGCGGCGUGCCUAAUACAUGCAAGUCGAGCGAGCGGAACUAACCGAUUUACUUCGGUAAUGACGUGAGGAAAGCGAGCGGCGGAUGGGUGAGUAACACGUGGGGAACCUGCCCCAUAGCCUGGGAUACCACUUGGAAACAGGUGCUAAUACCGGAGAAGAAAGCAGAUCGCAUGAUCAGCUUUUACAAGGCGGCGUAAGCUUUCGCUAUGGGAUGGCCCCGCGGUGCAUUAGCUAGUUGGUAAGGUAAAGGCUUACCAAGGCGAUGAUGCAUAGCCGAGUUGAGAGACUGAUCGGCCACAUUGGGACUGAGACACGGCCCACACUCCUACGGGAGGCAGCAGUAGGGAAUCUUCCACAAUGGACGCAAGUCUGAUGGAGCAACGCCGCGUGAGUGAAGAAGGUUUUCGGAUCGUAAAGCUCUGUUGUUGGUGAAGAAGGAUAGAGGUAGUAACUCGCCUUUAUUUGACGGUAAUCAAACAGAAAGUCACGGCUAACUACGUG
rnacentral:rRNA from 1 species